rnacentral:rRNA from 1 species
UUGGAUCCAGACUUUGAUCCUGGCUCAGGACGAACGCUGGCGGCGCGCCUAACACAUGCAAGUCGAACGAGCGAGAGAGAGCUUGCUUUCUCGAGCGAGUGGCGAACGGGUGAGUAACGCGUGAGGAACCUGCCUCAAAGAGGGGGACAACAGUUGGAAACGACUGCUAAUACCGCAUAAGCCCGCGGUGCCGCAUGGCACAGAGGGAAAAGGAGCAAUCCGCUUUGAGAUGGCCUCGCGUCCGAUUAGCUAGUUGGUGAGGUAACGGCCCACCAAGGCGACGAUCGGUAGCCGGACUGAGAGGUUGAACGGCCACAUUGGGACUGAGACACGGCCCAGACUCCUACGGGAGGCAGCAGUGGGGAAUAUUGCACAAUGGGGGAAACCCUGAUGCAGCGACGCCGCGUGGAGGAAGAAGGUCUUCGGAUUGUAAACUCCUGUUGUUGAGGAAGA